CUACACGUGCAUGAUUAAAUCAUGCACUGGGCCUCUAGUGUUUUAAUAACAACCCAUUUCUGAGGAAAGAUGUUAUUAAUUUCUACCAAAAUAAAAUGAGUGUUCCAGCUGUCACGAACUCACUCUCGUCCUUAAGCAGAACUCUCUCUCCUCCAUCUGCCUUC